UGGGGAAUAUUGGACAAUGGGGGCAACCCUGAUCCAGCAAUGCCGCGUGUGUGAAGAAGGCCUGAGGGUUGUAAAGCACUUUCAGUGGGGAGGAGGAUUGACAGGUUAAGAGCUGGUCAAUUGGACGUUACCCACAGAAGAAGCACCGGCUAACUCCGUGCCAGCAGCCGCGGUAAUACGGAGGGUGCGAGCGUUAAUCGGAAUUACUGGGCGUAAAGGGUGCGUAGGUGGUUUGGUAAGUUAUCUGUGAAAUUCCUGGGCUUAACCUGGGACGGUCAGAUAAUACUGCUGAACUCGAGUGUGGGAGAGGGUAGUGGAAUUUCCGGUGUAGCGGUGAAAUGCGUAGAGAUCGGAAGGAACACCAGUGGCGAAGGCGGCUACCUGGCCCAACACUGACACUGAGGCACGAAAGCGUGGGGAGCAAACA
rnacentral:rRNA from 1 species